AUUCCAGCUCCAAUAGCGUAUAUUAAAGUUGUUGCGGUUAAAAAGCUCGUAGUUGGAUUUCUGCCGAGGACGACCGGUCCGCCCUCUGGGUGAGCAUCUGGCUCGGCCUGGGCAUCCUCUUGGAGAACGUAGCUGCACUUGACUGUGUGGGGCGGUAUCCAGGACUUUUACUUUGAGGAAAUUAGAGUGUUUCAAGCAGGCAUCCGCCUUGAAUACAUUAGCAUGGAAUAAUAAGAUAGGACCUCGGUUCUAUUUUGUUGGUUUCUAGAGCUGAGGUAAUGAUUAACAGGGACAGUUGGGGGUAUUCAUAUUUACAUGUCAGAGGUGAAAUUCUUGGAUUUUGGAAAGAUGAACUACUGCGAAGGCAUUUACCAAGGAUGUUUUCAUUG
rnacentral:rRNA from 1 species